rnacentral:rRNA from 1 species
GACGGGAGAUGCAAGCGUUAUUCGGAUUUAUUGGGCGUAAAGGGUCUGUAGGUUGUUGGUUAAGUCUAUGGUCAAAUUCCGAAGCUCAACUUCGGGCCGGCACUAGAAACUAAUCAACUUGAGUACGUUAGAGGCAGGGGGAAUUCCCAGUGUAGCGGUGAAAUGCGUAGAUAUUGGGAGGAACAUCGAUGGCGAAGGCACCCUGCUAGGCCGAUACUGACACUGAAAGACGAAAGCUAGGGGAGCAAAUGGGAUUAGAUACCCCUGUAGUCCUGGCCGUAAACGAUGAACACUAGGUGUCGGGGGAUCGCCCCGGUGUCGUAGCUAACGCGUUAAGUGUUCCGCCUGGGGAGUACGCACGCAAGUGUG